UUCUCGCGAUAGUGAGCGAGUUCUCAUGAGAUCUGAUGGUUUUAUAAGCCUCCGGCCUUUCUCCCGCUGGCACUUACCCUCCUUCCUGCAACGAUGUGAAGAAGGACAAGUUUGCUUCCCCUUCUGCCAUGAUUGUAAGAAGACUGGUGGUGCUGCUGGAAUAAAAGGAGUGAUGGAAGACAGGUGAGGGUGUGAGGAGAAAAGAUUUGGUGAAUCACAGUUAUGUUUCCUGGCAUUAAAUCACCCUUGAAUAUUUCUAUAAUAAAUUCUAAUCAUGAGAAAAACAUCAGAAGAAUACCAAUAGAGGAACAUUCUGCAAUAUAUACCAGACUCCGUAAGACUGUCAAGAUCAUCAAAAAACAAGAAAAGGCUGAGAAACUAUCACAACCAAGAGAAGCCUAAGACAACAUCAUGACUAAAUGUAAUGUAUUCAGGAUAGGAUCCUGGAAUAGAAAAAGGACACUAGACAACAAGGAAGUUCUGGCAGAUGAAUGGAAGCUAAGCUCUCCUGGAUGGAGAGUGUUAGAAGAGACACUGGAAACUCAGUCCCAAGAUGCUCAGAGGGAAGGAAAGGAGAGAGCAACAACCUCUGGAAGAAAUGGAAGUGGUUAUCACUAAUGCAAACAUAUUACAUUGAAUGAAAGAAUCUUCUUUCACAGCUUUGCAGCAAACACACAGAAGACAUGAAGAAAAUAAGUCCACAGCCCAAAUUAUCACAACGAGUUUGGAACUUAGGAUAUCCUUCAUUUUGGCUAAUCAGAUCCCUUCCUAGUUAUGAUGGGGCAAACUUCGUAAUAACACACAGCCUGGACUCCACCAAUGGGAAUAAUUACCAUCUGUAGAAGUAUUAUGAAACUGCCUUAUAAAAGUUUUUUUAUUAAAUAUAUAAAAUUAAACUCAU
rnacentral:lncRNA from 1 species